rfam:Oxytricha trifallax strain JRB310 Contig18239.0 macronuclear, whole genome shotgun sequence.
AUCUUUGCUUCAGGGGCAAUAUCGUAACAAAUGACGCUAAGCGGAUGUGCGAUGUUUGCUAAUUGAAAACUAAUCCAAUCAUGUGGUCCAGGUUCGCCUGGGCCCAAUUUCUGCACGGGUCUCCGGACC